CAUGUUGGGGUAGAGAUUACUUAAAAAAUAAAACUUUGAAGAUGGGUGGAAUUUUCCAGUUUGGCUAAGGGGAGGCAUUCUGCAAUGAGGAAGCUACAUGCUGUAGCUUGGCACUUUAGGCAUCUGCAGUGGUCCCAUGGAGUUGGGAUAUGGGUGCAAGGGAUGGAGGGGAGGUUGGAGAGGUGGAUGGGGGCCUGGCCACCAAUCCUUAGGUGACAAGGAUUUAGCACUUAAUCCUGCAGUCAAGGUAUUGAAGUGUUGAAAAGUUCAAGUCAGAGAGAGAAAUGACAGUGCUGUGUUGUGGGAAGAUAAUUGUAGAGGAGGUAUGGAGGUAGCUAAUGGGAGUGCAGAACUAGAGGUAAGAAGAUAGAGAUGCAGGCUGGAACCAAGGCGAGGGUAGUCAGGAUGGAGUGGUAGUGUCAGAGAGGUGCUGAGGAUGCAGAAUUGGUAGGACUUGGUUAAAAGUUGGAUGGUUGGCAGGGAAUCGUGAUGGGAAAGAGAAGAAGCUGGAGGAGUAAGCAAGAGUGGGGAGAAAAUGGCUCCUGUUCCACACCUGUUGAGCUUGGGAUGCAUCUUUCGGAAGUGCAGGACCCCGAUCUUACUGGACAUGUGCAGUCAAGAACACCCACAUUUAGCAGUAACUGAACACACAGGAAUCCCCUUCUCUCCAGUUAUCACUGAAAUGACGAAACGCAGUGGGAAAUCACACUCGAAUUUGGAGAAAGCUGCACUGGUCUCAGAGACUUCAAGGAGCUUCUGCAAGGGUUGACACAAGCAAGAACAUAUUUAAAGAAGUGUCCACAGACGCUUAAGUCACCACAUAAGGAGAAAAAGUGGAAGGGACCCUCAGUGAAAUGCGACAUACUCCAAGCUUUGGCAAAAGGUACUCUCUCAAACACAUCACCAGCAGGGGUCACACCAGGCACCGUCCUGAAGCCCAGCAUGCAAUGCAUGACUCCACACCAUGAGAUCUGUUUCCAGGAGAAAGUGGAAACUGCACGGGGCUGUGGGACAGCCAGGAGCUACACCUGCAGGUCGUUUGUUCCCGUGAUGGGCAUGUGCGAAUCCUAUUGUGAACAAACAAACCAAAUGUCUACCAUUAAAGGACUACUUGAAUGCAUUAAAGUACCUCCCAACAAUGGAGUAUAUGCAACUGUAGAAAGAAGAAAGGGAACUAUCUCUGUGAUCUCCAGAUUAGCUACCUAUCUAUCAUCUAUCAUCUCAGUUGGACACUUAACCAGAUAAGCCACCCAGGUGCCCCAGGAUAUAUUUUUAUAUGGAAAAGUGGCGAGACGUGUGUAUAUAGAAUGCUACAGUUUGUUGGAAAGAGGGUGGGUGAAUAUGAGCACACAUUUCCUUAUAUUAGAAAAAUGGAAGAGUAAAUAAAAAACUUUUUAAAUGGUUAGCCUUUUAGGAGGAGUUGACACUCCCUAGUACCCAGACUGUGGUCUCUAAAUACCAGCUCCCACUGAAAGGAACCAGGGGUCCUUGAAGAAAUGGUGAAGUCCAGGUCUGGGGCAGGAAGUGGGCAAGAUAAACCUGGUACAUCUUUUUUUUUUUAAUAUUUUAUUUAUUUAUUCGACAGAGAUAGAGACAGCCAGCGAGAGAGGGAACACAGCAGGGGGAGUGGGAGAGGAAGAAGCAGGCUCACAGCGGAAGAGCCUGAUGUGGGGCUCGAUCCCACAACGCCAGGAUCAUGCCCUGAGCCAAAGGCAGACGCCCAACCGCUGUGCCACCCAGGCGCCCCAAACCUGGUACAUCUUACCACUUCAGAAUACAAAGAAGUAUCAGAGAUAGUUAUGCUAAAGGGCUCAGGAACCAACCUAUAAAGAUUGUAUAGGAAAAACCUAUGAAGGUCAAAGGUGGGACAAUUUGAACAUCAAUAAUACUCACUGUAAUAGAUUUGAAACACAUUAAACAGUUUAAAUGCAUGAACUCAAUGACGCUUAGCAAGCAAACAAAUGAACAAAAACCUCAUUGGUCACCUUUGGAGUAUCCUAGGGAACAAACCGUACCCCAGGGUAGCCCAACAGUUGAUGGGAAGUUUCUUUUUAUAGGAAUAAUCCAGUUUAUAAAUGAAAGAAAUGCAGAUUAUAGAACAUUACUAUUUUGCAACCCCUGACGUAUUAAUAGAUGUAGGUAAGGGCGAUCAGUAGGUGCUUUCAUUAUAAAAGAAAAAUCCAGAUAUUAUGUGCCUUCUGAUAGAAUAUGAACCCCCUAUAAAGAAUUUUUGCCCCAAAAUUGAACUUGAAUAGGAUCAAGGCUCUUGUGUUAUCAUUUUAUAGGAAACACAUGAAAGCAGACAAACGUUAAAAUAUCUUCCCAGUUAACGAGCAAAAUCGGGAUUGUAGGAAACUUUACAGGAUAAAAGACCCAGUUUCUUCAAGAAAUACAUUGAAAGAAAUAAAAAGAAAUGUCAGGGGGAUUUAGAGAUUUUGAAAGACUUAAGUGACAUACCAGUUAACUUCAAAGUGUACAACUUAUUUGGAUCCUGACUCAAACAAACGGAAGAGUGCAAAGAAAUUUGCACCAGGCAGGAAAAAUCUCAACAGUUCACUUGAUUUUUGAUAAUAUUAGGGCUUAUUUACUUAUAAUAGGCUCUGGGACCAAGAUGGGGCUUGGACUCAGGGCCAGGAGAUCAAGAUUCGUAUUGUCUGCCACUGAGCCAGCCAGGCGCCCCAGGACUUACUUUUUAAAAGCAAUAAAGAUAUGUCACCGUGUUUAAAAAGAGUCAUCUGUAGUGAAAUGUACACUGAAGUGUUCGUAGAUGAUAUGAUGCUGAGAUGUGCUUCCACGUAACGGGGCGGUAUGUGUCGGUGGCGGAAGUGUGGCGGGCUACAGGUCCGAAAAGAGACAGGAUGACCGUGGAAGCUGGUGGACAGGUACAACGAGGGUACACGUGGAGACCAACGAGACGGCAGCGGCAUUCUUGGAGGGAUAUGAUGGUAGCUGCCAUAAUGGCAGCCAACGCAGAUACCUGAAGAAGCCGCGUCAACAAGUCCCUCUGUCCCUGAAAGCUGAGCUUCCUAAAGCAGCUCACUUGGAGGCGGCCUGGUGUGAACCUACAGCGGCUUGCGGACACCUUCCCGAUACAGCUCCUGCCGCCGCCCCUUUUCCUCUCCAGGGGAGGGCGCUCAGGAGCGCUGAGAUACGCAGGAGCAGAGCCACUAUGACGGGGAGGUGCGCAUGCGCCGCGGAGGCUGCGGACCACGUUUCCCAGGAACGCCGGCGUGUCCGGCCCCGCCCAGUGCACCAGAGUCCCUUUCAAGCGAGGCGCUAAUACCUGGGCUU